rnacentral:misc_RNA from 1 species
AACGCACAUUGCGCCCGCCAGUACUCUGGCGGGCAUGCCUGUUCGAGCGUCAUUACAACCCUCAAGCCCCCGGGCUUGGCGUUGGGGAUCGGCACAAGGCGGAGGGGCACCCCUAGGGAGCCCCCUCGGCCCGCCGUCCCCCAAAUUCAGUGGCGGUCACGUCGCGGCCUCCUAUGCGUAGUAGCAACACCUCGCACUGGAAGCCCCUCGCGUCCACGCCGUAAAACCCCCGACUUUUUAUCAAGUUGACCUCGAAUCAGGUAGGACUACCCGCUGAACUUAA